CUUUACAGUUUCCCCAGUGCAGCACUGCGUGUUCGGUGGGCGUCUAUGUGCACCACAUCAGUCAACACUGCUAAUUUGAGAUGUUGCGGCCGUUGCAAGCGGUGUUGAGUAUUGAUUUCUGCAUCCUUCUCCAGGACCCAUCUUAGUGCCCAGUGUUGAUCUCCGCUCACUACUCCAGGACCCAUCUUAGUGCCCAGUGUUGAUCUCCGCUCACUACUCCAAGACCCAUCUUAGUGCCCAGUGUUGAUCUCCGCUCACUACUCCAGGACCCAUCUUAGUGCCCAGUGUUGAUCUCCGCUCACUACUCCAGGACCCAUCUUAGUGCCCAGUGUUGAUCUCCGCUCACUACUCCAGGACCCAUCUUAAUGCCCAGUGUUGAUCUCCGCUCACUACUCCAGGACCCAUCUUAGUGCCCAGUGUUGAUCUCCGCUCACUUCUCCAGGACCUAUUUGAACAUUUAGAGUAUAUCAUACUGGUCUACGAUACACGUUACCGCUUCCUCUCAACUGUUCAUUCCCAUCUAAAGAAGUAGAAGAUAACAGUUAUCUCAAUGAUGAGAUUUUUUUCCUUCGGUCGCCGUGACCCGGACGCUGAAGAUAAUCCCCGGAAGAGUCGAGAAGAGUCCAAGGGCCACGAGCGUCGACGUGGGCAUCUUAGACCUCCGGGGCAUUGUUGCAGGGGUGGGCACCUCAGCCCACAUCGGUACCACAAGCCUCAUGCCCACCGAAGUCCUAACAGACAUCCCAGCCUGCGAGAGAACAGAAGUCCACAGAGGUACCUCAGUCAGCCUGAACAUCACAGCCGUCGAAGUUCAGACUCCAGCGCUAGUGGACGCCGGGGUUCACGGGGGAGCAACAGCCCAAAUGGGCAUUGUAGCCCGAGUAGACAUAAUCGUAGCCCAAGAGAACAGAACCACAGCCGUAGCCCAAGUGGAAGACACAGCCCUAUUGGGCGCCGCCACAGCCUAAGUGAACAGUGCCCAAACCCAAGUGGACACCACAGCCCCAUUGAGCGCCGACACAGUAUAAGUGGAAAUCAGAACCCAGAGGAACACCACAGACAUCUGGGUUGUCGAGGAAACGCCACCCACCACGAUCGUCACUGACCACACGGACAACAUUGCCAACAUCACAACUUACAGGAACAUCGUGCUUCGCCGGGACGUUCUGGCCGUGUGACCCCAAAGUUCCCGCAUACAUAGUUAUGUCUAUUUUGUACACCAUGAACAGCUGGGACUCAACAAAUGUAUAAUAUUGUACAUAGGAAUCACUUUUUAAAACUUCUAGAAUCAAAGGACUUCUUUUGCAUCACAACUUUAACAAUUUGUAUUAAACCGUAUGUGCUGCAUUUGGCUGUGUGGCUGCAUUUAAUAUUUUACUUUGUUUCCUGUAUAUAUAUAAAAUAUACUGGGAAUUAGGUAUAAAUGUUUGUGAAUUUUAUAUGUAGUUAUUGGUGAUAGAACUACCGAGUUUGUGAUUAUUAUAGUCUUCUUUCCCAAUGUUUAUUUUACUGACACGCUAUAGUUUUGAACACUUAUUCAGUAUAGCGUCUGAAACUGUUGUUAAACAGAU